rnacentral:tRNA from 1 species
GAGGGGAUAGCUCAGUGGUAGAGCAUAUGCUUAGCAUGCACGAGGUCCUGGGUUCAAUCCCCAGUACCUCA